UAAGGAAAAGGCACCCCACACUCCCUCCAGCUGUGAGAACCUAGCAGAGAAAAGACUAGGAAACUGGCCCAGCUGUCUGCCCCGGGUUUUCACCAUGCACUUACAGGUUUGAAGACUCGGAGUGCUCUCCCCUCCCCCUCCCCGUGACGGAGUGAGACCUGGCGGUGCUGAGUCACGUUGUUUCGCUUCUGCUGCCCACCGCCGGAGCAGCUGGGAUGUGGAGUGCACUCUUCCCCUUUCCAGGGUUUCUGGCAGAAGUGGAACCGGACUUUUCCAGAGGACGGGAUCACUCUGAGACUCAACUCUUCGGGUCGGGGCAAAGUCUAAAAUUCCAGGAUCUCUACAAUACGUGAUUGAGUUAUCAUGGCAACUUAUUCUCCUUCUUCUGCUCAAUGAAGAGUCCCAGGGCUGUGAACUACAGAGGCAAAAACGGACGCAUGAUGCAGCUGAAAUCUUUGUGAAGCUAGACCCCGGAUUUAGAGGACAACGCUCUACAUGUUUACUGCAAUCCAUCAAAAGUGGGUGUGGGCUGCAUACCUAUGAGAAGAGCUCAAAAACAAGGAAACAAAACCAAGACAGCAUGGCGACCGGGGCUGGGGCGAACUCUCAGAGACUGUUGAGCCACUUUGCAAAACAGUGAGUGCCUUUUCUUCUUCACCAUUUUGUGUCUGUGUGUUGUGUUGUGCAUGUAGUACAUGUACUUAUUAGUGUGGAUGUGUGCACUGAUGUGAGCGGGUAUGAGUGCAUGUGUGUGCACAUAUGUUGACGUUGGGUGUCUAUCUUAAAGUCUGUCUCCUCUCCACUUUUUUGAGACUGAGUUUCUCAUUGAACUUGUAGUACAUGGACUGGUAGGCUGGCCAAUGAGCUCCAAACACCACUAAUCUUCUCUCCCUUCCCCUGUCCUGCUGCUGGGGUUAUAAACAUGAGCUGCUAUGC